rnacentral:rRNA from 1 species
UACGGAGGAUGCAAGCGUUAUCCGGAAUCAUUGGGCGUAAAGCGUCCUGAGGUGGCCUGCCAAGUCUCCUGUAAAAGACCAGGGCUUAACCCUGGGAAUGCGGUGGAAACUAGCAGGCUAGAGUAUGGUAGGGGCAGGGGGAAUUCCCGGUGUAGCGGUGAAAUGCAUAGAUAUCGGGAAGAACACCAAUGGCGAAAGCACUCUGCUGGGCCAAUACUGACACUGAAAGACGAAAGCUAGGGGAGCAAAAGGG